rnacentral:rRNA from 1 species
CAGUAGCCACGGUAAUACGUAGGUGGCAAGCGUUGUCCGGAAUUAUUGGGCGUAAAGGGCUCGCAGGCGGUUUCUUAAGUCUGAUGUGAAAGCCCCCGGCUCAGCCGGGGAGGGUCAUUGGAAACUGGGAAACUUGAGUGCAGAAGAGGAGAGUGGAAUUCCACGUGUAGCGGUGAAAUGCGUAGAGAUGUGGAGGAACACCAGUGGCGAAGGCGACUCUCUGGUCUGUAACUGACGCUGAGGAGCGAAAGCGUGGGGAGCGAACAGGAUUAGAUACCCCGGUAGUCCCUGUCUCUUAUAC